rnacentral:lncRNA from 1 species
GCCGGGACCCGCCGGGACCGGCCCUGGCAGCAGCCGAUCCCCUGAGGGAUCCCCGGGGAUCCGGUGUGCCCGCUCCGGAGGGGGGGGGGGCGCCGUCCCGGGUCGCGGAGCCUCCCCGGGAGUCAAAGCCCAAUCGGGGGAUCGGCUCGGGGAGGGGGGGGGCAGUCCCAGUCGAGGGGAUCCACUGGGAUCGGUUUGGGGGGGGGGACAGUCCCAGUCACAGGGACCCCUUGGGAUCGGUUGUGGUGGUGGGACGGUCCCAGUUCAGAGGAUCUGCUGGGAUCAGGUGCGGGGGCAGUGCCAGUUCACAGGGAUCCCUGGGGAUUGGUGGGGUCCCGGUUCCCAGGGAUCUGCUCAGUUCCCAGGGAUCGGUUGUGGUGGUCAUGGGCAGUCCCAGUUCCCAGGGAUCCGCUGGGAUCGGUUGUGGUGGUUGCGGGCAGUCCCAAUUCACAGGGAUCCACUGGGAUCGAUUGUAGGGUGGGAGCCAGUCCCCCUUUGGGGCGAUCUGCUGGGACUGCGGUAGGGAGCCUAUCCGCCUGCAGGUGGAUCUGCCGGGAUCAGUCGUGGGGGAAGCCAGUCCCGAGGUGUGUUGAUCCCCUGGGACCGGCUGUCACCGGGACACCAUCCACGGCUGCCUGGGAUCUGCCGUGGCAGGGAUCGGAUCCCCGCUCCGGGGGAUUUGCUGGGAUCCGCUGGGAAGGGAUCCCUGCUCCCCAGGACCUGCUGGGAUCUGGCCUUGAUCUAGGUAGAGCAGGGAUCCCGGGGGGAUCCAGUGGAUCCCUUGGCCCCAACCUGGAGAGCAGAGUGGGCAGUCAGGCUUUGGGGGGCUGGGGGAUCCCAGGGAGGUUUGGGGAUGUUUGGGGGGAUCCCAGGGAUGUCUGUCAAUGUUUUGGGGGAUCCAGGGGUCUUUUGGGGGGAUCCCAGGGAGGUUUGGGGAUGUUUGGGGGUUCCCAGAAUUGUUUUCGGGAAGAGUUGGGGGAUCCCGGGGUGCUUUGGGGGAUCCCAGGGAGACCUGGGGGUGUUUUGGUGUCCCCGGAGUGUUUUCGAGGGUGUUUGGGGUUCCCCGGGGGUGUUUGGGGCAUCCCAGGGAGGCCUGGGGGUGUCCUGGAGGAUGCAGGGUGUCUUGGGGAUGUAUUUGGGGUGUUCAGGGGGUCCCGGGGUGUGCUCUGGGGGUCCCAGGGCAUUCUCGGGGUGUUCUCGAGGUGCUCCAGAGGGCCCGGGGUGCUCUCAGGGGUGUUUUUGGGCUGCUCAGAGGGUGUUCCCAGAGUGUUCCGGGAUGUUCUCGGGGUGUUUUCAGGGUGUCCCGGGGCAUUCUUGGGGUGUUUUCGGAGUGUUCUGGGAUGUUCUCAGGGUGUUUUCGGGGUGUUCCAGGAUGUUCUCAGGGUGUCCCGGGGUGUUCUCGGGGUGUUUUCAGGGUG